UAGAUAGGGAUGAUGCAAAAUAUAUAAUCCAACACUUGAUCUGAGACAAUUGUUCAAAUUUGUGAAGUUAAACCUAUUUAUAUGCCUCUGAAUCUAC
rfam:Lupinus angustifolius cultivar Tanjil contig_23013, whole genome shotgun sequence.